rnacentral:SRP_RNA from 1 species
GGGCGUUCGGGCCAGGCCCGCAAGGCUUCAGAAGCCUUCGGUCGCCCGAUGGGAAACGGGAUGGAAGGCGACUGGCA